GCGCUCGUAGCUCAGUAGGAUAGAGCGCCGGUUUCCUAAACCGGAGGUCGCAGGUUCGAAUCCCGCCGGGCGUA
rnacentral:tRNA from 1 species